CACAUACGAAACCCCCCCCUGCCCGAGACCCUAUCCUCUGGAUUGCAGCUCUACUUGUAAUGUUGGUCAUUUUGUGUGGGAUGGUGUUGGUGUUCUUUCUAACACUAAGGAAAAGGAAGAAGAAGCAGCCUGGCCCCUCUCAUGAAUGUGGCAAUACAUUUUCUGAAGUUGUUUUGGUCUCUUCCAGAAACCAACAAAGUAGAGAGAAAAGAGAGUGAACAGACCAAGAAAAGAGUACAAUACCAUGUACCUGAAAGAUCUGAUGAAGCUCGGUGUGUUAACAUUUCGAAGACAACUUCAGGCGACAAAAGUACUACACAUUUUUAAUUAAAGAGUAAAAUCCAUAUGACCAUCCAUUGUUUAUAUGCCUUCGCUUUCAAAUUUUGGCUUACAUUUUUUCUUGUCCAUUAAUAUUAUUGUUACCAUUAAUAAUAGCAGGGGCUCCAGGACUCCUUGUAAGUGAGAUGACCUCCCUAUAAUGCCAGUUCUGCUCCCUAUGCCAGGAGCAGAUUUUAACUGCUUCUUUUCAUUUUGGAGCACACUUGUAGGCCAAGCUCACCUGACUGGUUCCUGGCUCAGGACUGAUGUUUAAGACUAACACCUCCUGUUUCAGAUUCAGCCUUCUUUUCUUAAUUCUAUAAAUUGUGUUUUAUGUAGAACUCCCAAUUACUGGAAUAAUGGCUUUUAUCUAUGCUUAAUUCUAAAACAGUGCCUCAUUCCAUCUUGUGUAUUUGUGACUACCUCUUCAGUCUGGGUGGGAGUUAUGUAUGUUAUGGCUUUAUAGUGCUGUUAUUAAUAUUUUGAAACAUAAAGAGAUGUGUACUAUAAUAAUGUAAUUACUAUGUCCUGAGAAAAUUUACCCACUUCUCUGUGAGGGUCAGUAGGAAAAUGGUGGGUUGGUGUGCUGACAACAAUGAGCAGACCGACUCAAAAUUUGGAAAAUUAGGAAUGAUGGAGAUAGAACCAGCUCUGAAUCCUGGAGCCACUUCUAUCUGGGCUGCUGCUAAUCUGAGGAGGAUCCACCUGCCCAACAAGCUAUUGAUAAGCCUUAGCAGAGAGCACUGUGUAAAGCAGGAAAGCACUAUGCACUGUGAACCCUACUUCUCUUCUUGAAAUAAGUGACUGAGAUGAUGGCCCAGGGCAAUUGUUCAAGAGCCAAUAUGAGAGAUCACAAUACUCAAAAGAGAGAAAGAAAAAAAAGGGAAAGCUCUUAACCGACAGAGAUGCACAUGAAUGUCCUAUCUGUCCAGCCCUCUAGCAAGCAAAAGGUGAACAGACUGUCCAAAAGAACUUCAGACAGACAGCACCUUCCUUGGUGGUUGGUGAGAAGUCUGGAUAAUACUCAAGUUAUCGUGAUGCUCCAUCUGGCUGGAGGCAGAGCUGGGAGGGAGAGCUAUCAUCUUGAUAAUGGGAUAAACGGAAGGAGGCUUAGGACUCUUUCAACUCAUGGCUGAGAAAGAAGGAGCUAGAGUGGAAUUAGGAGGACCAAGAUGCAAAUCAUCCAGAGGCCAACAUAGUUGGCAGGUGUCCUAGGAAGGGAUCAGCUGGUUCAGAGCAGGGCUCGCAAAUUUGUGUCUGAUACUGUCUAUGUCAUUCUCAACGAUGGGAAAACUGGAUGCACAAGAGGACUAUGCUAGCCCAGCAGAAAUGAGUUAGGUGACCCUGGCUCUAAGGCAGCAUCGCUAAUGGACAGAGCAGCCUCAGUCCAAGCCGAGACAGAACUUUGGGAGGCCCAACGCACAGAAAUAUUUCUUCUUAUUCUACAUAAAGGAACCUAGAAGAUUGUAGACAGCUGUGCUAGCCAUGCUUGCCUUGUAAUAUUACCAUUUGUGUAUUGUGCCCUGCCUCUGCCUUCAUUAGGCUGAGGUAGCUUGUUGGUUCCUAACAUGUUUUAUACAGUGAGCUCUUAAUAAACUUUUCUUAAAUUGA